UCCUAGUCCUGGGAUAGCUCAGUCAGUAGAGCAUGAGAUCUCAGGGUCAUGGGUUUGAGCCCCACAUUGGGCA